UACGGAGGGUGCAAGCGUUAUCCGGAUUUUCUGGGUUUAAAGGGUGUGUCGGUGGGCUUUUAAGUCAGUGGUGAAAUCUCCGGGCUCAACCUGGAAACUGCCAUUGAUACUAUUAGUCUUGAAUUUUGUUGAGGUAGGCGGAAUAAGUCAUGUAGCGGUGAAAUGCAUAGAUAUGACUUAGAACACCAAUUGCGAAGGCAGCUUGCUAAACAAAUAUUGACGCUGAGGCACGAAAGCGUGGGGAUCAAACAGG
rnacentral:rRNA from 1 species